AUUGAACGCUGGCGGCGUGCUUAACACAUGCAAGUUGAUCGGUAACGCGGGGGCAACCCUGGCGACGAGAGGCGGACGGGUGAGGAACGCUUGGGAAUCUGCCUAUCAGCGGGGGACAACACGGGGAAACUCGUGCUAAUACCGCAUACGCUCUACGGAGGAAAGCCGGGGACCGCAAGGCCUGGCACUGAUAGAUGAGCCCAAGCCGGAUUAGCUAGUUGGCGGGGUAACGGCCCACCAAGGCGACGAUCCGUAGCUGGUCUGAGAGGACGAUCAGCCGCACUGGGACUGAGACACGGCCCAGACUCCUACAGGAGGCAGCAGUGGGGAAUUUUGGACAAUGGGCGCAAGCCUGAUCCAGCCAUGCCGCGUGAGUGAAGAAGGCCUUCGGGUUGUAAAGCUCUUUCGGCCGGGAAGAAAUCGCAUCAGCUAAUACCUGGUGUGGAUGACGGUACCGGAAUAAGAAGCACCGGCUAACUACGUGCCAGCCGCCGCCGUAA
rnacentral:rRNA from 1 species